CCUACGGGGGGCAGCAGUGGGGGAUAUUGCACAAUGGGGGAAACCCUGAUGCAGCGACGCCGCGUGGGUGAAGAAGCACCUCGGCGCGUAAAGCCCUGUCAGCAGGGAAGAAAAUGACGGUACCUGAAGAAGAAGCCCCGGCUAACUACGUGCCAGCAGCCGCGGUAAUACGUAGGGGGCAAGCGUUAUCCGGAGUUACUGGGUGUAAAGGGGGCGCAGACGGCGUGGCACGCCAGGAGUGAAAGCCCGGGGCCCAACCCCGGGACUGCUCUUGGAACUGCGUGGCUAGAGUGCAGGAGGGGCAGGAGGAAUUCCUGGUGUAGCGGGGAAAUGCGUAGAUAUCAGGAGGAACACCGGUGGCGAAGGCGGCCUGCUGGACUGCAACUGACGUUGAGGCCCGAAAGCGUGGGGAGCAAACAGGAUUAGAUACCCGGGUAGUC
rnacentral:rRNA from 1 species